rnacentral:rRNA from 1 species
UACGUAGGGUGCAAGCGUUGUCCGGAAUUAUUGGGCGUAAAGAGCUCGUAGGCGGUUUGUCGCGUCUGCUGUGAAAACUCGGGGCUUAACUCCGGGCCUGCAGUGGGUACGGGCGGGCUAGAGUUCGGUAGGGGAGACUGGAAUUCCUGGUGUAGCGGUGAAAUGCGCAGAUAUCAGGAGGAACACCGGUGGCGAAGGCGGGUCUCUGGGCCGAUACUGACGCUGAGGAGCGAAAGCGUGGGGAGCGAACAGG